rnacentral:rRNA from 1 species
ACGGGGUGCAGCAGGCGAGAAACCUUUGCAAUGUGCGCAAGCACGACAAGGUUAAUCCGAGUGUUUCCUGCUAAAGGAAUCUUUUGUUAGUCUUAAAAUCACUAUUGAAUAAGGGGUGGGCAAGUUCUGGUGUCAGCCGCCGCGGUAAAACCAGCACCUCAAGUGGUCAGGAGGAUUAUUGGGCCUAAAGCAUCCGUAGCCUGCUCUGUAAGUUUCCGGUUAAAUCCAUUAGCUCAACUAAUGGCCUGCCGGAAAUACUGCAGAGCUAGGAAGUGGGAGAGGUAGACGGUACUCGGUAGGAAGGGGUAAAAUCCUUUGAUCUAUUGAUGACCACCUGUGGCGAAGGCGGUCUACCAGAACACGUUCGACGGUGAGGGAUGAAAGCUGGGGGAGCAAACCGGAUUAGAUACCCGGGUAGUCCCAGCUGUAAACGAUGCAGACUCGGUGAUGCCCUGGCUUGUGGCCAGUGCAGUGCCGCAGGGAAGCCGUUAAGUUUGCCGCCUGGGAAGUACGUACGCAAGUAUGAAACUUAAAGGAAUUGGCGGGGGAGCAC